AGCGGAGGCCUACGUGACAGGAUAUACGACGUCAUCAGUUAUAGCUAUAUAAGCGACGGGUUUCAGCCAAAGAAUCACAAUUGACUCGCGGUAUAUAUCGGUGACACUGAUAUACCAAGAGACAUACAAGGAUCUCAUAGCUUCUAUACAAGAGAUUUGUUUUAGAAGAAAAGACUUCUGAUCAUUGCAAUGAAGGUUGUGAUAUUUCUAGCUGCGUUGUGUGCUCUUGCACAUUGCAACGGUCAACUUUCACCAAAUGCUCUGUGUCAAAUUACCUGCGAACGAAAUGAAUCUUGCCCAUCAAAGGACCAGAUGCACUCAAUUGUAUUGAGCAAAGGAGCUACUUGCAUUCGCUGCAUGUUCAACGCUUGUACAAGUAAGGAAUUUUCUAUUUACCUUACA